rnacentral:miRNA from 1 species
GGUGGGAGGAUUGCUUAAGCCUCGGCGGUUGAGGCUACAGUGAGCUGAGAUUAUACCACUGCACUCCAGCCUGAGUGACAGAGCAAGAC